rnacentral:rRNA from 1 species
UACGGGGGGGGCAAGCGUUGUUCGGAAUUACUGGGCGUAAAGGGCUCGUAGGCGGCCAACUAAGUCAGACGUGAAAUCCCUCGGCUUAACCGGGGAACUGCGUCUGAUACUGGAUGGCUUGAAUCCGGGAGAGGGAUGCGGAAUUCCAGGUGUAGCGGUGAAAUGCGUAGAUAUCUGGAGGAACACCGGUGGCGAGGGCGGCAUCCUGGACCGGCAUUGACGCUGAGGAGCGAAAGCCAGGGGAGCAAACGGG